AGAUAGAAAGUUACUUCGGUACAUCGGUGACAGGUGGUGCAUGGUUGUCGUCAGCUCGUGUCGUGAGAUGUUGGGUUAAGUCCCGCAACGAGCGCAACCCUCGACCUUAGUUGCCAGCAUUCGGUUGGGCACUCUAGAGGGACUGCCGGCGACAAGUCGGAGGAAGGUGGGGAGUGACGUCAAAUCAUCAUGCCCCUUAUGACCUGGGCUACACACGUGCUACAAUGGGCGGUACAAAGGGCUGCGAACCCGCGAGGGGGAGCGAAUCCCAAAAAGCCGCUCUCAGUUCGGAUUGCAGGCUGCAACUCGCCUGCAUGAAGCCGGAAUCGCUAGUAAUCGCGGAUCAGCAUGCCGCGGUGAAUACGUUCCCGGGCCUU
rnacentral:rRNA from 1 species